AAUUUUCAACCUUACUUGCUUUUGUUGUAAGCUAAGUCUGGCUUGGAUGUAUGGAAGUUGCUGGUUAUUUAAUAAAUCAGCUCUUCUUAAUAGCAUUAGCAAAAUUUUCCGCUAAACUCUUUGAUAUGAUAACUAUCAAUAUCAUUGAGAUUCUGCAUAUAACUUUGCUUCUAAUUGUCUCUAUACGAGACCAAGUCUUUGAUAA
rnacentral:misc_RNA from 1 species